AUUGACCGCUUUCUUCCUACCUAACACAUGCAAGUCGAGCGGAUGAAGGGAGCUUGCUCCUGGAUUCAGCGGCGGACGGGUGAGUAAUGCCUAGGAAUCUGCCUGGUAGUGGGGGAUAACGUCCGGAAACGGGCGCUAAUACCGCAUACGUCCUGAGGGAGAAAGUGGGGGAUCUUCGGACCUCACGCUAUCAGAUGAGCCUAGGUCGGAUUAGCUAGUUGGUGGGGUAAAGGCCUACCAAGGCGACGAUCCGUAACUGGUCUGAGAGGAUGAUCAGUCACACUGGAACUGAGAAACGGUCCAGACUCCUACGGGAGGCAGGCGUGGGGAAUAUUGGACCAUGGGCGAAAGCCUGAUCCAGCCAUGCCGCGUGUGUGAAGAAGGUCUUCGGAUUGUAAAGCACUUUAAGUUGGGAGGAAGGGCAGUAAGUUAAUACCUUGCUGUUUUGACGUUACCAACAGAAUAAGCACCGGCUAACUUCGUG
rnacentral:rRNA from 1 species